rnacentral:lncRNA from 1 species
UAAAAUAAUAAUUUUAGACCAAAUUGAAUAUAUAUAAAUUAAAAUUUAUUUUUUAUAAGAUUAACUUGUGCUAAGUUUAUUUUCAGCCCUUAGAUCUAAUAUGAAUAUAUGAUUUAGAUAAAAAAAUGUCGGUUAGGUUAGUUUGACUAAAAUCGGACAAAUCGGACCAAUUUGCCGGUGCAAACAUCGCCGAUUCAAACGAAUUUAAGGACUUAUCCGAUUUAAAGAGUUGAAUCAAAUUACUUUAUAGGUAGAGUCACGAUCAGAUCGUCCGAUCCAGUUCUUUAAUAAUUGAGAAAGACAUAUCACUCUUCUUUAAUAAUUGAGAAAGACAUAUUACUCUAUUGAAUGGUGAAGAUUGAAAUAUAAGAUGAAAUGAACGGUGAAGAUUGAAAUAUAAGAUAGAAUGAAGGGUUGGAGCAAACUCGGCAUGUUGCGGUGCACGGUCGUAUGGUGCACGCGCGUGCACCCAACGGUGUCCGCACUCAGUCCUCAGUUGUCCACGUGUCCGCACCACGUCCCCCACAAUGCUGUCACGAAAGGUCCACGUGUCCCUAUCACUGCCGUCCACGUGUCCCUCUCGGAAACGGCGCUUCUUAUCCGCAACAUUCGAAUCCGCGCGCUCCCGUACGUUAUUUACUGCCCCUCAACUUUUACCCUUUUUUUAAUUAUCUUAAAAUUAAGAUAAAAUUUAAAUUAAAUAAAUUUAUAAAUGUUCUUAAAAUGAAAUGGCUAAUUAUUAUUAUUAUUUGGUAAAAUUUCCAAAUUUAACAAUUAUUUUAACGUGCAUGAGUGCAUACGAAAAUUUCAAAAUUAAUAAGAGUUAAGGGAUGUUUUCCAAAAGAAUCUACAGUUGAGGGGCCUCCAUACAAUUUUACACGGAUAUUAUUAUAAAGUUAAGUGUGCGCCCGUCGUUCGCGCCUCUCAUCAUUCUCGCACUUUUCCCGACCAAAUCCCUCCUGCCAAAAUUUAAAUUUCCCCAAAAAACCCCCGAAAAGAAAAAAAAUUAAAUAUUUUAGCUAAAAAAUGUAUGAACUUUCAAAAUGGUCCCUCAACUUUAAACUUCGAUUGAGAUUUCUUAAACUUUUGAUUUUGAGUCAAACAAAUUAAAAAUUUUAUCAGACUUAUCAGUAAAGUUAUAGAAUUUGAUUAUUUUAAUUAUAUUUAGUAAAAAAAAAAUUAAAUAAUUAGCGACUGAUAGGUGGUAGAGCUCUUUUAAAUUUAACAAAAUCUUCAACUAAAGCAACGGGACCUAUUUAAAAAUCAACUAUAGUUAUGGGUUCUUCCUACAUUUCUACCAAAAUUUUAAAUCCCCCUCCCUUUUAAAAUUAGAAGUUAAGGGGGCUAAGUUCGAAAUAUCGUACAAUUAAGGGGUGCCCGUACAUUUUUUCCCCAAAUUUAAAUUCCCCUCCAUUUUUAUCUUCCUUCGUACGCCCCCCGUUCAAAAAUUUCCCCCAAAUUCAAAAUGCGGUAACCUCACCGGGCAAAAUGUUGGUGGGUGCGAGUACGUCCACAUCCACCGUCCAUCACGCUUAUCGCGCGAAUCUCAAAGCAUGUUGAACGGUGGCUGCGUCCCAUGUCUCGCCCCGGUAACCUUACCGCCCUCAUCUCCUUCCUCAAGAAGC